UACGUUUGCGGCCGAGUUGGUGAUCCGAUCGCCAAUGUUCGGAAGGAUCGGAUUGAAAAGGGAACCCGGUGCGAAUCCGGGACUGCGUCCUCAGCUGUAAGUUCUUAGCAAAGUGAUUCCGCAUCCGCAAGUGUCACUUUUUCAUGUAAUGAAAAGGGAAGACCCCGCGGGAUCAAAGAACAAGUCAGAAGACCUGCCACCUCAGGCAUGAUUUU
rnacentral:ncRNA from 2 species